GACAGAGGGUGCAAACGUUGUUCGGAAUUACUGGGCGUAAAGCGCGUGUAGGCGGCUAUGUAAGUCGGGCGUGAAAUCCCACGGCUCAACCGUGGAAGUGCACCCGAACUGCGUAGCUAGAGUCCUGGAGAGGAAGGUGGAAUGCUUGGUGUAGAGGUGAAAUUCGUAGAUAUCAAGCGGAACACCGGUGGCGAAGGCGGCCUUA
rnacentral:rRNA from 1 species